UUCUUCUUCUUCUUCUUCUUCUUCUUCUUCUUCUUCUUCUUCCCCGUGACGCGGCAGGUGGUGACAGGGAGCGCUGCUUUGUCACGCCGCGGCCAGUCAGCAAUCAGUCACGCAGUGCUGAGUGUUGUUGUCACACGCCCCACCGUCGUGACGCAACCCAAUCGCGUUACACUUGAAGGAGCCUGAGCGUGGCCGAGUCCCCGGAUACGCUACAGUGGCCGAGGAUAGUGUGGCAGUACGCAGGGGCUCGAUCCGUGGGCGUGGUGAAGGAAGGGGAUAUUACGGAGGUAAGGAGUUGCGCUUGGUAUUGUGUGCUCGCAACGCGGACGCCCACGCAGCCUUGACACGUGAAGGAAGCGAC